UAGGGAAUCUUCCACAAUGGACGCAAGUCUGAUGGAGCAACGCCGCGUGAGUGAAGAAGGUUUUCGGACCGUAAAGCUCUGUUGUUGGUGAAGAAGGAUAGAGGUAGUAACUGGCCUUUAUUUGACGGUAAUCAACCAGAAAGUCACGGCUAACUACGUGCAGCAGCCGCGGUAAUACGUAGGUGGCAAGCGUUGUCCGGAUUUAUUGGGCGUAAAGCGAGCGCAGGCGGAAGAAUAAGUCUGAUGUGAAAGCCCUCGGCUUAACCGAGGAAUUGCAUCGGAAACUGUUUUCUUGAGUGCAGAAGAGGAGAGUAGAACUCCAUGUGUAGCGGUGGAAUGCGUAGAUAUAUGGAAGAAUACCAGUGGCGAAGGCGGCUCUCUGGUCUGCAACUGACGCUGAGGCUCGAAAGCAUGGGUAGCGAACAGGAUUAGAUACCCUGGUAGUCCAUGCCGUAAACGAUGAGUGCUAAGUGUUGGGAGGCUUCCGCCUCUCAGUGCUGCAGCUAACGCAUUAAGCACUCCGCCUGGGGGAGUACGACCGCAAGGUUGAAAC
rnacentral:rRNA from 1 species